rnacentral:rRNA from 1 species
UACGUAGGGUGCGAGCGUUAAUCGGAAUUACUGGGCGUAAAGCGUGCGUAGGCGGUUCGUAAAGUCUGAUGUGAAAGCCCCGGGCUCAACCUGGGAACUGCAUUGGAAACUAGCGAGCUCGAGUGUGGCAGAGGGGGGUGGAAUUCCACGUGUAGCAGUGAAAUGCGUAGAGAUGUGGAGGAACACCGAUGGCGAAGGCAGCCCCCUGGGCUAACACUGACGCUCAGGCACGAAAGCGUGGGGAGCAAACAGG